AUUGAACGCUGGCGGCAUGCCUUACACAUGCAAGUCGAACGGCAGCAUAGGAGCUUGCUCCUGAUGGCGAGUGGCGAACGGGUGAGUAAUAUAUCGGAACGUGCCCUAGAGUGGGGGAUAACUAGUCGAAAGACUAGCUAAUACCGCAUACGAUCUACGGAUGAAAGUGGGGGAUCGCAAGACCUCAUGCUCCUGGGGCGGCCGAUAUCUGAUUAGCUAGUUGGUGGGGUAAAAGCCUACCAAGGCAACGAUCAGUAGCUGGUCUGAGAGGACGACCAGCCACACUGGGACUGAGACACGGCCCAGACUCCUACGGGAGGCAGCAGUGGGGAAUUUUGGACAAUGGGGGCAACCCUGAUCCAGCAAUGCCGCGUGAGUGAAGAAGGCCUUCGGGUUGUAAAGCUCUUUUGUCAGGGAAGAAACGGUAGUAGCUAAUAUCUAUUACUAAUGACGGUACCUGAAGAAUAAGCACCGGCUAACUACGUGCCAGCAGCCGCCGUAA
rnacentral:rRNA from 1 species